GGUGGCUCAGUGGUAGAGCACUUGUCUUACAUACAUGAGGCUCUGGGUUCAAUUCCUCAGCACCA
rnacentral:tRNA from 1 species